CCUACGGGAGGCAGCAGGGGGGAAUAUUGGGCAAUGGAGGAAACUCUGACCCAGCAACGCCGCGUGAAUGAUGAAGGUCUUCGGAGUGUAAAGUUCUUUUCGAAGGGAAGAAGAAAGUGACGGUACCCUAGGAAUAAGCCUCGGCUAACUACGGGCCAGCAGCCGCGGUAAUACGUAGGAGGCGAGCGUUACCCGGAAUGACUGGGCGUAAGGGGGGCGUAGGUGGUUUGGCAAGUUGGUAGCGUAACUCAAGGGCUCAACCUUGGAACUACUACUAAAACUGUUGGACUUGAGUGCAGGGGGGGCAACCGGCAUUCCUCGUGUAGCGGUGUAAUGCGUAGAUAUUAGGAGGAACCCCAGUGGCGAAGGCGGCUUGCUAGACUGUAACUGACACUGAGGCACGAAAGCGUGGGGAGCAAACAGGAUUAGCUACCCGUGUAGUC
rnacentral:rRNA from 1 species